CAGAUUCUGACGUCACAUUGAAGGCAGGGCAUUCUUCAUUGUCCACAUGUGUGUUGCCUGAGCACAGGCCCCGCCUCCUGAUAGCAACCCCUCCCUCUCCCUCCUCCUUCCCCUUCCUCCCUUGCACAUUUGCCCCACCAUCCUCCCAUCUCCCUUCCUCCCUCCCUUCCAUUAUUCCUAAAUUCCUUCUUCCUUUCCUUUUCCCAUUCUGCUCCUCCUUUCCCCUCACCUCUCCCUUCUCCCACUAUUUCUAAAUGGGCCACACUAUUUUGCUGAAGAUGACCUCCAUCAAACUGGAGAACCUCGUUCACCUAGUUUUUCAACCUUGCCAGGUGAAUUUUCUUUUCCUUAAAGAGAACAACCAGGCCAAAUUCAUCCUGAUGCAUGAACCCUCAUGGAUCCUCAGAGGAAAAAAAAGGAGCAGAAAAUAUAUAAAAACUGGACCAUAAAGAGGAGGGCUAUGGAAUCUGUUUUCUUCACUACAGGACCACCAGUGCAGUCACGACUUCCCAACACCUGCUUCCAGUUCUGCUAUGGAAGACUCAACACCUAAGCUGACUGAAGAUCCAUCUCAGAUCCCAUAGUUGUGCUGGGUGAUAAGCUAAAAAGUAGUAAUAUGUCCAACAAGUUAGAGAAGGGGAAGUCAGGCAAUAAAUUUGGGUGGUCUAGUGACACUAUUGACAAUGAACACUUGGGCCAUCGCUCAUCCAAAUGUUGUUUUGUUUAUGAAAAGCAACAUGCUUUUGGUGAAAGCUCCUCAGAAAGUGAAAAAGAAUAUGAAGACAACGGAGAUGUACUCUGUGCUUGGGGUCAUCAAAAGGGAAGACACAGCGAUCUUUCAAGCAGCCUGGUUAAUACUUCAUCUUCAAAGCCUCAAGACCCAUCUAAAUCCCUUCCUUCCUCUAUCAUUGACUAAAGCCUCAUUUUGCUUCUCCCAUUCCUUAACCAGACUGAACUGCAUGCAAGAUGUCCUUGUUGCUACACAGGAAUUAAAUGUUGUUUGACUCUCUC